rnacentral:rRNA from 1 species
AAGCAUCCANCCUGAGAACUACGAGCACAAACGCUUAAAACUCUAAGGACUUGGCGGUGCCCCAAACCCACCUAGAGGAGCCUGUUCUNUAAUCGAUANNCCACGAUACACCNGACCACUUCUUGCCAUGGACAGCCUACAUACCGCCGUCACCCGCUCACCUCUUCUGAGAGUGCUACAGUGAGCACAAUCGCCCUAACCCCGCUAACAAGACAGGNCAAGGUAUAGCNUAUGAAGUGGAAGAAAUGGGCUACAUUUUCUAGNUUAUAAAAUCUCACGAAAGGGGGCAUGAAACAGCCCCUAGAAGGCGGAUUUAGCAGUAAAGNGGGAUAANAUAAGCCCCCUUUAAGCUGGCUCUGAGGCACGUACACACCGCCCGUCACCCU